rnacentral:rRNA from 1 species
AGUGGGGGACAACGUUUCGAAAGGAACGCUAAUACCGCAUACGUCCUACGGGAGAAAGCAGGGGACCUUCGGGCCUUGCGCUAUCAGAUGAGCCUAGGUCGGAUUAGCUAGUUGGUGAGGUAAUGGCUCACCAAGGCGACGAUCCGUAACUGGUCUGAGAGGAUGAUCAGUCACACUGGAACUGAGACACGGUCCAGACUCCUACGGGAGGCAGCAGUGGGGAAUAUUGGACAAUGGGCGAAAGCCUGAUCCAGCCAUGCCGCGUGUGUGAAGAAGGUCUUCGGAUUGUAAAGCACUUUAAGUUGGGAGGAAGGGCAGUAAGAUAAUACCUUGCUGUUUUGACGUUACCGACAGAAUAAGCACCGGCUAACUCUGUGCCAGCAGCCGCGGUAAUACAGAGGGUGCAAGCGUUAAUCGGAAUUACUGGGCGUAAAGCGCGCGUAGGUGGUUUGUUAAGUUGGAUGUGAAAGCCCCGGGCUCAACCUGGGAACUGCAUCCAAAACUG